rnacentral:rRNA from 1 species
CAGUCGACGAACUCUGGUAUUGAUUGGUGCUUGCAUCAUGAUUUACAUUUGAGUGAGUGGCGAACUGGUGAGUAACACGUGGGAAACCUGCCCAGAAGCGGGGGAUAACACCUGGAAACAGAUGCUAAUACCGCAUAACAACUUGGACCGCAUGGUCCGAGUUUGAAAGAUGGCUUCGGCUAUCACUUUUGGAUGGUCCCGCGGCGUAUUAGCUAGAUGGUGGGGUAACGGCUCACCAUGGCAAUGAUACGUAGCCGACCUGAGAGGGUAAUCGGCCACAUUGGGACUGAGACACGGCCCAAACUCCUACGGGAGGCAGCAGUAGGGAAUCUUCCACAAUGGACGAAAGUCUGAUGGAGCAACGCCGCGUGAGUGAAGAAGGGUUUCGGCUCGUAAAACUCUGUUGUUAAAGAAGAACAUAUCUGAGAGUAACUGUUCAGGUAUUGACGGUAUUUAACCAGAAAGCCACGGCUAACUACGUGCCAGCAGCCGCGGUAAUACGUAGGUGGCAAGCGUUGUCCGGAUUUAUUGGGCGUAAAGCGAGCGCAGGCGGUUUUUUAAGUCUGAUGUGAAAGCCUUCGGCUCAACCGAAGAAGUGCAUCGGAAACUGGGAAACUUGAGUGCAGAAGAGGACAGUGGAACUCCAUGUGUAGCGGUGAAAUGCGUAGAUAUAUGGAAGAACACCAGUGGCGAAGGCGGCUGUCUGGUCUGUAACUGACGCUGAGGCUCGAAAGUAUGGGUAGCAAACAGGAUUAGAUACCCUGGUAGUCCAUACCGUAAACGAUGAAUGCUAAGUGUUGGAGGGUUUCCGCCCUUCAGUGCUGCAGCUAACGCAUUAAGCAUUCCGCCUGGGGAGUACGGCCGCAAGGCUGAAACUCAAAGGAAUUGACGGGGGCCCGCACAAGCGGUGGAGCAUGUGGUUUAAUUCGAAGCUACGCGAAGAACCUUACCAGGUCUUGACAUACUAUGCAAAUCUAAGAGAUUAGACGUUCCCUUCGGGGACAUGGAUACAGGUGGUGCAUGGUUGUCGUCAGCUCGUGUCGUGAGAUGUUGGGUUAAGUCCCGCAACGAGCGCAACCCUUAUUAUCAGUUGCCAGCAUUAAGUUGGGCACUCUGGUGAGACUGCCGGUGACAAACCGGAGGAAGGUGGGGAUGACGUCAAAUCAUCAUGCCCCUUAUGACCUGGGCUACACACGUGCUACAAUGGAUGGUACAACGAGUUGCGAACUCGCGAGAGUAAGCUAAUCUCUUAAAGCCAUUCUCAGUUCGGAUUGUAGGCUGCAACUCGCCUACAUGAAGUCGGAAUCGCUAGUAAUCGCGGAUCAGCAUGCCGCGGUGAAUACGUUCCCGGGCCUUGUACACACCGCCCGUCACACCAUGAGAGUUUGUAACACCCAAAGUCG